GCUGGAGUGUCGAAACUGGUAGACGAAGUAGACUCAAAAUCUACCGUUAGCAAUAACUUAUGGGUUCAAGUCCCUUCUCCAGCACCA
rnacentral:tRNA from 1 species